ACCGGAAACCGUUUGAUCAGGAUA
rnacentral:sRNA from 1 species